GUUUUUAUAGUUUAAAAAAAACAUUAAUUUUGUAAAUUAAAUUUAGAAAAAUCUUAAAGACA
rnacentral:tRNA from 1 species